UAAAUUAAGCAAACUUUCUGUAAUGAGUUGAAAUGGCAUGUGAGUCCAGAAUGUAAUUAUCAACGUCCACUGUUCACGGUUGUUAUGUAAUAUCCGUCUUCUUCUUGUUCU